UGCCAGCCGCCGCGGUAAUACGGAGGGUGCAAGCGUUGUUCGGAAUUACUGGGCGUAAAGCGCGGGCAGGUGGCCCGUUAAGUCGUCUGUGAAAAUCCGGGGCUCAACCCCGCGAAAUGCAGGCGAUACUGGCGGGCUGGAGAUCGGUAGAGGCUAGCGGAAUUCCUGGUGUAGCGGUGGAAUGCGUAGAUAUCAGGAAGAACACCAGUGGCGAAGGCGGCUAGCUGGGCCGAGUCUGACACUCAUCCGCGAAAGCGUGGGGAGCAAACAGGAUUAGAUA
rnacentral:rRNA from 1 species